AUAAAAAGGAGAAGUGAUGGACAGAGAUGUAAUUUUACAUCAUGUACAACAUUGGAAGCAGCAUAUACAACACUUUAUAAGCAGAGAAAAUAGAAAAGGGUUUGAUAUUUUAAGACGCUACAAGGGGUAGCCUAGGGAUUUCACUCCUACCGUUCCUUCAUUUUCCAUCAUCGAUUGAAAUUGAAUGCGAUCUUUUGGUAUUCGCCGUCCCCAUCUACCCUAUAACCUGAUUUCCGAUUUUGAAGGAACCCGAACCGAUUUGCAGUGGAAGAAGAACUUGCAACAUGGAGAGAUUCGGAGGCGGUGGUGGUGAUACUCUACAAAUUCAUUCGAAUUCAUCAGGGAAGAGGAAGACGGUGUGAAGGUUGUGCCAGGUUUCUUUGACGUGAUUCUCAAUUAUAUCGAAGGGCUACGUUUCUUCAAGGAGAAUUUCACAUAAUAGCUGAAAAGUUUCACGUUCAUAUACUUGUUCAUCCAAAUAUUUCUUGCAUGUCUUCCCCUGCUUCUCCCAUCGCGAUCAGUUAUUCAAUGGUUCUUCUUGAAGGACAUAAAUUGAUCAGGAGAAAUAUCGCCACACUCAAUGUUGCCACUGGUUCACUUUCUGUACUUGUUCUCUCCCUCUAUCUCUUUAUGGCGAUAAUCUCAACAUCAGAACUCCAAGGGAGCCAUCGAUUCACUUGUGGUCGAUCAUGAUAUUUUUUGGAGCUCCGAUCAACCCGGCAUCGACCUUAUUUUGCUGAUGAAGCGGAAUUUGUGGAAGUUUAUAGAAAAAGAAAUUUGGUGCCGCUCCACAAGUGCAAUAUUAAUCACUUACACGUUUGAUGUCAGAAAUGAUGAAGAAAUACAAUGAAAGGUGAAGAAGAAGCUUUAUUCUGCACAUUGUGCAAUGCCAGAGGGUUCAUGAGGCUGUUGACACAAAGGAGAUGGAAGUGAUUUGUGGAUUUAUGUUUCUGUUUGACAUGUUUAUGAGGAUGUCAUGUGACUGUUUGACAACAUUGAUGUUCUGUAGUCAUAUGCUUCAGACAGUCAAGCCGAUCAGAUCUAAAUGUCAAUUGGGCUACAUUCUCAGAAACUGAGCUCACGAGAACAUGCCAAAGCCUAGAUAGUGGUAUUUGUAUUUGAGGCCAAUUGUGAUACUUAGGGAGCCCGGUCCAGGAGUUGACCCAAUCAAAAACUGCUCCGGAGUCUUCAGGGAUCUCUUCAUCAAUCAGAUGAACCUCCUGGACCGGGAAGUGAAGAUGGUCGCCUAGCUGGACGAACCAUUGGAGUAAAACUACGUGAGAAAACACGCACUUGAGCAGGCUGAAACUCUUGGUGUUGAUGUUAGAGAAGCUGCGACCCGUAUCUUCUCCAAUGCAUCUGGCUCCUACUCAUCAAAUGUAAACCUGGCAGUCGAAAACUCAACAUGGAACGAGGAGAAACAGCUUCAAGACAUGUAUUUGAGCAGAAAGUCAUUCGCAUUCGACAGCGACACUCCAGGUGCCGGAAUGAGCGAGAAACGAAAAGUGUUCUAGAUGGCGUUAAGUACAGCCGAAGCCACUUUCCAAAACCUCGACUCAUCAGAGAUUUCUUUAACCGAUGCGAGCCUCUACUUCGAUUCUGACCCAACUAACCUUGUUGGGAGCUUGCAUAAGACGGGAAGAAACCAAGUGCCUACAUUGCACACACAACCACAGCUAUGGAAAAUAAUUCAUAUGUAGUGUUUGACUUUGCAAAAUACUCAAUAUGGAAAAUAAUUGCUGUAAAAUUUUGUAUUUGUGGCAAAUAAUCUUUCUUUCUCUGUUUAAGGUCCAAAAUUUG
rnacentral:lncRNA from 1 species